GUUUUGUCUCUGUUCCAUUUCUGUCUUUGGGCUAUGAUGAGCAAAAGAUGUCUAGCCUAGAUUUAGAAGGCAAACUUGGAGAUAUGAAAGGUGAGAAGAAAAUUAAAGAAGAAUGAAACGAGAAGGGCCCACUGGGUAUUCUGACCUGCUUUGCAACACCUCAGAAUGGAGUGCAGUUUCAGCUUUGAAACAGAAAAAUGAGCUCAUUUUAAGUUCUUUUACUCCCACCAGUUUUAAAGGAAGCCUAUUAAGGAAGCAUUUUACAGAGGGAAGUUAGUGUUGGUCUCACUGAAGAGGCAAAAUGCUGUCUUGCAGUAAAUAUUUUGGUUUUUUAGAGGUGUUUAUAUGUUUCUGAUGUUACUGUUGUUUUAGCUGAUAAAUAUUUCAUUUGCUGUUA